AUUUACUAGGAAGGUGGGACGUUGGAGGGGUGGCCGCAUGGAGUGAGUACUGUCUCUGGCCACCGAGCAGAGCCAGUGACAGCAGCGUCCUGGUAGGCAGGCAGGCGUAUCAGGUUUCAGAGGAUGCGGCUGGGAACGGGAGUAGAGGUGAGGGGUCGUUGCAUCUGUCGCGGUGUGUAUCUUUUGGGGGUUCAGCGCCACCAGCGACUUGGGCCUCAUUCAUCGCGCUUACAUUUCUCCACCUCAUUUGAAGAACGAGCUUCGUAGCCCACGGAGCUGAGGUAUAUGAGCUCCCUGAAAGCACAAAGCAGUUAUUUCCAUCUUCAGAUCAUUCAGAGAUUAUGAAGGCACAAACCCUGCCUUCAAUUUGCUUAUAGUCAAGUGGAGCAGACACAAGUCAAUGAUUGCAGUAUAGCCACUGAAGUAAUCUAAAAGAGACUUAUCAGCAGGUUGCAGGUGAACAUGGCCUUGAGGUAAAUCUGUCCCUUGCUGAAUACAGUUUCAGUAGAUUGUUUAUAGUAGUUUCAGGAAUUGAGAUUUUUUACAAAAAUACAAAAGUUUUGCUUGGUUCUGUUCUAGAUGUUUUCUUCUAAAUAAAUGAGAAAGAUGUUUCAACAAAGGCUCUUUAUGCUGAAUAAUUGUGAUGCUUGAAGUUGCUAAUCUGCUUUAAGUGGAUUUUAAAUGUCAGGCAAUUCUAGACAGUUUUUUCUUGGUCAAAUAAAAAUUUAAUUAAAACUUUA
rnacentral:lncRNA from 10 species